rnacentral:rRNA from 1 species
CCUACGGGAGGCAGCAGUGAGGAAUAUUGGACAAUGGGCGCAAGCCUGAUCCAGCCAUGCCGCGUGCAGGAAGACGCAUCUAUGGUGUGUAAACUGCUUUUGUACGGGAAGAAACACUCCCUCGUGAGGGAGCUUGACGGUACCGUAAGAAUAAGGAUCGGCUAACUCCGUGCCAGCAGCCGCGGUAAUACGGAGGAUCCAAGCGUUAUCCGGAAUCAUUGGGUUUAAAGGGUCCGUAGGCGGUUUAAUAAGUCAGUGGUGAAAGCCCAUCGCUCAACGAUGGAACGGCCAUUGAUACUGUUAGACUUGAAUUACUAGGAAGUAACUAGAAUAUGUAGUGUAGCGGUGAAAUGCUUAGAUAUUACAUGGAAUACCAAUUGCGAAGGCAGGUUACUACUAGUGGAUUGACGCUGAUGGACGAAAAGCGUGGGGAGAGACGAGAGUAGUAUACCUACGUAGUCACGACCGAACGAAUAGAGUACUAGACUGUUGGUCGGCGAAGUACUAGUAGGUCGUAAGACGAAAGUAAGAGUAAGUAAGUACCUACCGUACGGGAGGGUACGGUUACGGUCGUAAGAAAGUUAGAAAGUAACGAAAGGAAAGUUAAGUUACGGCGNGAGAGAGCGACGGACGACGACGAGGGAGGAGGAG